ACUUUGCCCUAAUCCUAUUUUUCUUCCUCUCUCGAUUCCUUCAUCCCUCAUUUGCGCCGAAGCCCUCCUCUCUCGAUUUCUUGCCCCUGUGCGUCACACUUCUUCCUCGAUGCAGACGCCAUUCUAUACUCCAUUGGUUGAGCAACCCUCCUUCACUAUCAAUUGAGUUCAUCCGGCGAUCAUUCCUCUUCUCGAGUUGUCACACGUCUGCUUGGGUAGUCGAGGGAGAGGAGAUCCAAGCUGUGCCCUAGCUACCAUCGUCGAUGUCGACUCUUGAUCAGCCGACGCUGACUCUCGACUCAUCUUCUCGCUCUGCCCUCACCCACUCGCCCUAGUGUCGUAUGACCUUCAUCGUCGGUCACCUCUCCGCGCUGCUGUCGCCACGCACAAGCUUUUGUCGAAGAUGCUGGAAGGGAGGAAUUGACACCAAGGAGGGCAACAAGGUCUCUCACUUGCGGAUUUGGAGGAGUCGCUACCAUUGGAGGUCAUCAGCCCCGUUUCCCUCUCCGCCGUGGUACACUGCAACCCAUUUCAUCAUCGGCACAAGACUGUCGACCUCUUGCUGUUCCACUUCCCAUCAUCAUUGUCACCGUGAGCACCAGUGCCGAGCCACCUCUCUCACCAGGCUGCCUUUGCACGCUAUGAUCGCCACUGUGCUUGACGGUUGUCGUUGUUUACUUGCGAUCAUGCCACCACCAGCACCUGAUCCCAAACACCGCUUUCCCUCGCGUCCAUCGUCGCCACCUAAUCAUAUUCCCUUCAGCUGACCAACACUGAUCUGUCGAUCUAGCUAGCUAUAUCGUGCUGCUCAUGCCAAGCUCGAUGAGAUCAAGCGGUCAAUUAAGGGGGGAUAUUGGUGUUUAUUUGAUCGAUUGUCCAUCUCUUCUCGUGCUGAGACCCUUCAGUCGUGACCAUCGCCUCCAGCACUCAGUCAUCAGAGAGUUUGGUGGUUGGCUGAUUGAUUUGGGAUUGUGAUUCGAGAUGAGAGCCUUGAUGUGAGAUUAUUUAGCUCGACCUACAUUUAAGGUAGUUGGUAAAGGAUUUAUGGAGUCGCAUGGAGGUCCUGUCCGCCAUGUCCCAUGUCACAUUCAAAGACAAUCUUAUGAUUUUGGUAUUCCUUACGCUAUUUGUAUUUGGUUUUGUACUUGUGUAUUCUAUUAUUUGGUGUAUCGUUUGUGUUAUCUUGUAUUUGGUUUGUUAA